AAAAAAAAAAAAAAAAAGGCAAGAAGAAGAAGAAAAGUAAGUGUGUAUGUGUGUGUGUGUGCGUAUUCGUGUUCGUGUAUGUGUGUGUGUGACAGGGAGAGAGGAAGAGAGAGAGAGGAGGGGGAGAUUCACAGAGUCCUGCUUUCCUGAGCUGAGAGCUGCUGGUUCCCAAGCCGAAAGUAUUAGGAGAAACACGGCUUCUUGUGUGUUUGCUGCAUUUGCACAAUGAAAUCACUUCUAUUUUUAUUCCUGCUAACCGGCCGCUUUUGCUUGAAUCCACUCCGAGCCAUGGACGACAGAAACAAAAAAAAAAAAAAGUACUUAAAAACAACUAGACAAAAAAAAAGAGGGAAAGAAAACCUUAACAAACCCAACCACGCUGGGAUGAGGAUUACUCACUUUAGCGCUGCCUGGACCCGGCCGGGCGGCUCGGGUCUGGGAUUGUGCCGGGUUUCAAGGACACGGGAGAUGAUCAGGACUUUGGGAGCCAACAUCUGCCUGGCUGGUGACGUCAGCAACCCCGUGUAAUCCUCUUGUACUGAAGGCAGAUGCCUUAUUUGUUUGGCUGGAGAGGCAUUAAUCCCUAAUUCUGGAGCAGCAAGCGAGGGGGAGAGACCGGACCGCUUCCUAUCCCCCGAAAGCAGCUAGAGGGGCUCUCCUCUCCUGCGCUCCCCGGCUCCGACUGGGUGGAGGAGCCGCCAGCCCUCGGCAGGCGGCCGCACGCAGGAGCUACGGUGCCGAGGGGGUCCGAAGCCGCCUUCCCAGUUUGCCCCCGGAUGCCCCGGGAAGCUACGGGAAAAGUCUCUGAGAAGCCCAGCUCGCCGCAGGAUCCCGACCGCCGCCGCCUGCAGCCGCAGCACAUCCCGCUUCGCCUCCUCUCUCUCUCCCGGGCCCUGGCGCCGAGGAAGCAGUCGAGGUCAGCUGCCCGGUUCCUGGGGUCCGGCCGUGCUCCAGCCCGCAGGGCGAUGCAAGGUGCCCGGCCGCUCCGCUCCUGCCCGGCGCGCCGUCGGCACCCAAAAGGAAUGGUCCCGAUCCUGAGCCGUGAAAGAUGGCAAAAAGCGUAAUAAUAACAAUAAAAGAUUAGGCUAAUUUUUUUAAAAUUAUUGUAAUGACUUCACCCCUUAUUUCCUCACUCGCCAGUUCAGUGUAGGCAAGCCAGAUGGGCUGCCCAGACCCUCCCGGGAAAGGGGCAGGUGCGAGUGAGUUAAAUUUUUUUCUGCUUUACAAAGAAAGAUGACACGUCCUGCCCUUUCAUUUUUCAUCGCCGAAAGAUCCCCUCUUUCAACCCCCCGCCCUCCCCCUGGCCGAGGGCAGCGGGGAUGUUCUGGGGGUGCGGGCUCCCCCCGCCCGUGCUCCAGGGGAGCCGCAGAACCAGGAGGACCGAGACAGCGGAAAGACAUGGUCAUUCCUCUCAGCCAGGGAUGCCAAAUGACAGACGCCGACUCGGGGAGAGUCAACUCCUGUGUUUAAAAUCACGCGAAGACGCUGGUGAAAUUAAAGCAGUCAUCUGGAAUUGUUCAAUAGGCACACGCUUAUAUUAUAUAUAUUUUUUUAAUCGAUUAAAUACAUAUUUAACAGCUUCCUGAGCACUGCAAACAACAGACUGGCUAGUAAGAAAACUCGAGCAUGAGUUAUAUGCAGCCUGGGCCGGAAUGGGACUAGGGCGGAGGGAAAUUACCGGGUUGUUUUUUUUUUUUUCGGGGAUCAGUUGCUGUACUGCUGAGAGAGAGAGAGAGAGAGAGAGAGAGCGAGCGAGAGAGAGCGCUCUAAGGCUCUGACUCUCCGUGUUCACAGCGGACCUUGAUUUAAUGUCAUACAAUUAAGGCACGCGGUGAAUGCCAAGAGCGGAUCCUCAAAGCAGCAUGAAAGAUCUCGCUAGACCAUACCAUAAUAAUAUUAAUAACAAAAUAAUUGCAAUGAGCUUAAAAAAAAAAAAAGAAAAAGAAAAAGAAAAAAAGGAAAGAAAGAAAAGGAAAGACAAAGCAAUAAAGAGCUCGACAACCUGUACUCACCUACGGGAACCAGAUUAACUAGGACUGGUGGACUGAUUGGCUCAGCCCGGUGGAAAGGAGAUGCCGCUGCCACGGGACGGGCGCCCGCGGGGGCAGCUGUCAGCAGCAGGUAACGGGGCCGUGGGGGGCUACUGGAGCGGUGCGGUAGCCGCGGUGGUUUUUCAAGGUAGUGGUGACUCGACCUCUCGCUUUCUUGGGCUGAACCAUGUAAAGUCGAUUAAUGGGAAAUAAAUACAUUUUCUAAUAUUAUCAUGGCGAGGAUUGUUCUUUGCGCAUCGCUCAGCCGGUAGCUAGGAGUGCCCGCUCGGUGAUGGCUCCUCCUCUCGCGGGGCUCCUCUGGAAGCCGAGGAACGCGCGCCCCGGGGCAGCGGCGCGGUGCGCGGGGGCAGCGGAGCAGCGGCCGAGCCGCGGGCCGCGGGGGCAGAGCCAUGUGCAGAGCUGGUGCACGGGGCGGGGGGUGCCCGAGGCGCCGCGGGGGCACUGCAGCAGAGCCAUGUGCGGAGAGGCAGCUUGGAUGCGCGAAGAAGAGCGUGCGGAGGUUGCGAGGGAGAGGCGGGGAGGGGGAGCAGCGUACGGGCACGGUGUGUGAGAGCGGCGCGGAGCGGCGCCGGCGGGCAGCGGAGCGGCGGAGCGGCGUGCGGGCUUUGCGCGCCGGCCCGGGCGGCGGGGCGAGGCGCAAGGCAGCGGCUGGCGGGCGCGGAGCGGGGGCGGCGGCGGCGUAGGGUGUGCGGGGCAGCUCACGCCCGGGGGAGGGCGGCGGCGGCAGAGCGACGUGCGCCGGGGCAGAGCUGCACCAGAAGCAGGAUCUUCCCCAGUCCCAGAGAUAAGCAGAGGACAAGUGACCUGUCUGGUGCUUCAAGGCCUGGUGCACCGUGACUGCCACGGGGUGAGAGCCAGCCAGCAAAGGUAUGACAUAAGACUAAUUUUCACACUCUGCACAAAAUUCUUUGCAUUUCUUUUUGUAUUACUUAACUCAUCUGAUCAAUUACCGCAAUAACUCAGGAGUGAGAUAAUAGAGACAGCAAUUUGCAGUCUAACGUGAAUUAAUUUUCACUUAAUCUGGGACUGCUUUAAUAGCACGGUGGGCAUUAAAAGCCCCGUGCCACUCAAUACUAAAUAUUUGUGCAUCAGAAGUAGUGGUAAGAAAAUCUUACUAGAGAAAUUGCAUAAUUGGAAAACAGAAGAAAUACCAAAUCUUAAAUACACUGCUAGUAUGAAAUAUUUGAAAUUGCAAAUUAAGGACAAUUUGAUUAGCACCAGGAAACUAUUAAAUUAACAGAUGUACUGUUCACGCAAAGGUUGGUUUAUCAUUUGCCAUACUGGAGUAAUUCUGUUCAUUAAGCGAUUAAGUACAGGUUGCACAUUAAAUAAUAUGAACUGAAACACACACUUGAUACUUGUACAAAAAUACUUCAAAUGCAAUCUAAGCUUUUUAACUCCAUCACUGACAUGUUUUGCCUAAGUUUUUUUCUGUACAAGGAGGUGAAAAAUAAAACACAGGAAUUUACUAGUGUGUAUUUGAACUGAUCUUAAUUAUUGCAGCUGAUAAAUAGGCUAGUAAGCAAGGUAAUAACUUCAUUUGCUUAAGAUUUUUAACAAAGAAUUACAGAAUUAUCUGAAGUAUCUUCACAGUAUUUGGAACAAGGAAAUGACUAACACAUCUAAGUCUUCCUGACUUCAGAGGGUUAUAGCUCAACACUAUAUCAUUUUGCACAAUUUGUAUAAAAUAACUCUGCAGUCUUUUUUGAACCUAAAACUUAUGCCAUACAUCAUUCCUGUCUUACAAGCUAGACCUAUUAGAGUUAUUGAAAGCAUUUUUAGACCAUUUAGAGAGAUUUAUGAUUUGAUUUACUGUUCUACAUCCAGGGUGUGAUACAUUCAACUGAGAAAACAUUUUUUAAUGAAUGUACAGGUCCCGGUAAAAGCUCUUACCUUCACACUUUUGUUUUUCAAAUCUAAUUAAGAACUUUUUACUAUUUGUUCUUCUUUAGAAAAUUUACAUUCAGUCUACUAAUAUUUGUAGAUAAAAUGAAAAGAGACGCUUUUCAUUAUAUCCACAAAUCUAGACAGCAAAUCUAAAGGCACAACCUUUACAUUUUUUACUAUGGACACUUCCAGGUAAUCCACAGACUGGAUAAAGUCCAUUAAAAAUCAAGGGCACUAGUUCUUUCAAGAGAGAAAAAUUGGGAUAUAUCUGACUUCUAUUAAAUUGAACAAAAGUAUAAAAAAAUUAUGUAGCUGUCACUAAUUAAAGCAAUAAUUAGUGACAUGUUGACCCAUUUUAAAGUUUUAUAGUUCUUCAUCUCUCCUCUGCAAAGGAUUCUAAAAGCCAAUCAGAAGAAAUAAUUUCCUUUAAAAGAAUGCCAAAACCCCAAAAGAAAAUAGAAAAAUCACUGGGUUUUUCUUUUUGCAAUUCUUUUGCUCAAUUUCAAACAAUUUAAAUGUCAGAUUCCCCAAUGUAGUCAAACCAGUGACUCCAGUUAUUGGUCACAAGUAUUUACAAAAUACAUAGAAAUCUGUCAAGGCAAGAUGAAAGAAGCAUUAAUUUUAUCAUGGUCAAUAUAAAAUCAAAUCAACAUAUGCACCCAUUCACUUAUAUGUUCAUAUAAAUAGAAUAUAUGAAGUGCACUUAUAUGUUUGCAAGCCUAAUUUUAGUAAGGUUUAGUAAGGUUAAGUUUUUGUAAGGUGUUCUACUCCUAGACCAGGAGCCAGGUUUAAACACGCAAUGAAACGUUGAAGAAUGCAGGAUGCAAUACACCUUUGGAAAGCAAUCCCAUCCUUCCCUGCAUGAGAUCUGGAUUUAAGAUGUGCUGCAGCACACGCUGCACUCCCAGCCAUGCUUCAGCCCCACAGCUCCAUCCUGGGAUAAGAGAAGAGCCCCCACAUGCUCAGCAUCCCAUCAGGACAGGACAGACACUCCGGGACUGCUGAGACCCCUUGAAGUGAAGGUUCAUGCUACUCACACACGACCAAGGUCAGUGCUCACACUACACUUUUAAAGCAGUCAAUUAAAUGCAUUCUGGGCCUUCCCAAAAUUAUAUACACACAAACUAGAGUGUCAAUCCUGGUUUAAAAGAAGAAACACAUUAUAAUUUAAGAGAUGUCCCAGAAACACUUUUCUUUGUCUAUGAAAAAUGCAGGACUUCUGGAAUAUGAUAUGAGAAAAAAAUAUAAUGACUUUAAAGACUGGGAAUAAUAGAAACAGGAUUUAAUGUUGCUUGAGAAUUCUAAAAGUGGGAGAUCACACUCUGGAAUUAAUGAAACUGUUCCGUGUUGUAAAUUAGGACUGCUAGGGUCUGGAGGCAGUAGGAGGAGUAGGACUUAGAAUAUUGUUUUGUUACAUAGUAUAUGUAUGCCAGCUGUGUGGUAUUCCCGUGGAGGAAAAAAAAAAAAGUCAUUGGGAUGCUAUUAGAGAAAAUGACUUUCUGUUAUAACCCUAGGUGCAGGCAAGCCUACACUGGGAUUAUGUACAGUGGUCAGUUGUGGUCAGGCAAAGGGCUGCCAAGACAGCAAGGAGGAUACAACGCAGGAGCCUGCAAAAUGAAGGCUGUUCUGCGGCCCACAUGGAUGUGGAAGAGCAAAGAUGAAAGACUAUCCAAGCUCAUCUGUACGGAAACUGUGAAACUGCUUGGAAAAUUUGAGGAAUAUAGAAGCUGAGCAUUUAUUAGGAAGCUUGCAGCUGAUACUGAGUAGGAAUGAAGACUGAGAUCCCCUACAAAGUUAAGUGAAGAGUAAUAAUUCUGCAAUUUCAGAAGCUUAUAUGGCAAUAUGGAGAAGAACAGAAAGGAGAGAAAUAAUUCAGAGAACAAUAGAACUGUGAAAAUUACUUUCUUUUUUACCUUACAAUGCAUUUUCUUCAGUCGUGUAUGCUCAUUGUUUUGUGUUAAGACAUUCGUGCAAGCAAGCUUCUUUCCAGCAGACAUUAGUAUUUGGUGGGCAAACACAAAAAUCACUAGAUUUUCAUGUCUUCAGGCACACAUCGUUUUGUUCAAUUUUUUCAAGCACUCACCCUCUCAGAAAGUAAAAGCAAUUCUGCCCAGCAAGCAAGAACCACCAACAGGUCCCAAGUGAUUAUGGGAUGUUUUUGAAGAGUUGUUUUCUAUGGAAACUUGUCAGCAGAAUCUGUGUUGGAUUCCUGACUGCAGCAUAUUUCUUCCUUGCACCACAUGAAGUAGGAUGAAGGGCACAGAAGACAGUGAUUUGGGAUAAACCUUGAGCCCUGGGUCUGAAACUCCAGCCCAAAGUCUGCCCUGAAGGAGGGGAUAUGGAAGUCUGCUAAGGAACAGGGGGGCAAAUCCUUCACUCUGUUUGUGUAUGCCCAGAUCUGGAAUUUAGAAAGACCAUCAAAAGAAGCAGUAGCUAAGUAAAAGCAGGAAAAGGCAGUAACAACUCCUGUAAAGCAAUUUCAAAUAUCAGAGCUAAAUCAGAACAGCCUUAUCAGUGAAAGAUAAAGAUGGUUGAUCUUUUAAAAUGUCCUUGAAAAAUACCUACCAAAUACCUACCAAACUAGAAAGUCAGUUUUGAAUCUGCUAGAAUUUCAAGGCAACACCAAAUGAUUGUGUUACAUAUAGACUCCUAAACUAAUACAACAAAAAUCAAUAUAAUGCACACUAGUAUAUCAUAUAUUCCUUAUCCAAAAUUCUACAUUUCCCUGUCGUGUUUCAACCUUUAUAUCCUAUAGCAAGUGAUUCCUGUGUGUUCCUUAAUUUUAAAAACGUAACACCCUGAUCAUACUCGCAACUACUGCUCUUGUGGCUGAGGAGGACAAGGUUGGGUUUUUACCAUCAACACUGCUCAGUGUUAGGAGUAAAGCUGGGAGAGAUGAACCCCACCCCUAGGUGAGAUGGAUUGGAGCUAGAACGCCCAAGCUGCACACAGAUUUGCCAUGCCCUCCUGUCCCUACUGAGAGCUGAUGUGCUUAGAAAGUGAUUAUAUUGGGAUUAACUGACAUCACUCUAACAGAUUACGUUUUCUGAGGGUUCUGUAGGAAAAAACUAAGGAGAGAUGGAGAAGUUCUAGGGACAUAAUUUAGCAGAACUGAAUUUCCGACUUUUUCAGUUUGCCUAACAGUGAGAGAAUAUACAGUGAUAUAUGGAGUAAUGUUAACGGGGUCAAAAAUUGUCUGAACUCUCCCAAACAAGCAGCUUCAGAAAAACAGAACCCUGGAAAAUUCCCAGAAAGAACUUAGGAAUAUGAUCAAGAUGAAUAAGAAAAGUGACUUGACACUCUGUAGUUAAAAGUCUUCCACAUUCUGUCUCCUGGUUAUGAAUUAUGUAGAAGGUGCUUGGAAAACAUCAUCGUUUAUGGAAAAAAAUCUGCAUCUCUAAAGGGAUCACAGAUUUGUGAACAGGAUCCUAAUUUAUUAUUUCAAUAUACCCUCUCAAGGGUGCCCAGCUACUGAAACAAGAGAAAGCAAUUUUAAGAAAUUUAUUUAUCCAGUUUUCUUUUAUUUUUUUUUUCAUCCAAGUAAAGUGCAAUAGGCUUGACUAGCCCUCCUCCAGACAGCUCCCAGAAGGGCAUGUGAAGACAACAUGGCACAGCAGGGUCUGCACAACCACCAGCCAGCCUCAGACACAGCAAUUCCCAAACAACUGGCAUCUAAAUUCAACAAUAUUUACAAUCUUCCAUCUAAUAGCUGGUUCUCACCAUGGAGAACUCCAAAGACAGUCAUUUAGCUGGUAAGCCCACACUUCAAUACUGGUACUCAGUAACUCCCUAUCUAAAGUUCUUGAGAUCUGCCUACCCUGGCAGGAGUUGAUAAGCACAUGUCUAUAUACCCAUCACACAGCCCUUGGACAGGUUGUGUCCCCAGUGCUGGGGUUUGGGAAGCCCCAGUACAGUUUCUCAGUUCCCAGUGUAGAUAAGCUGGGACCACCACAGAACUGGUUAUUAGGGAAGCUCUCUUGUUUGAAGUGAAAAAGUAUUUUUGCAGGUCAAGCCUUGGCAGGUCAGGGGAGAAAUGUUAUAAACAUUACAUUUUCAGGACUAAUUAAUGUGAUUCUCUCUGCUGCACUCUAUUACUUAUAUGAUACAAUUGUGUUUUUAGCAAAGUAGAGGCAGUAGGGACUACUUUAUUGGCAUAAUCUAAUAUAGGGGCAACAGUCCAAAGUGACACAUUUUCUAAAUUUUAUAUGGGUAGAUAUCUUAAGAGGUCCAUAAGAAUCAGAGCUGCUAAUAAACUUCUAAGAACAGCCUUGGGUAUUAGGUGGGCAUAAUGAGAAAAUCUGGAAAUUCAUAUUAAGAACUCUGCCAGUACACUUUAGCAUUGACAUAAACUCCUUAGUUUAUUACUUUUUCCCUUUUUUCAUUAUUAGUCGGUGUGAAAGAGGUUCAGAAAGGGGAGACUUUAAAAACCUGGUGAAGCAUGCUAUUGGGAAGUACCAUUAUAUAGCCAAAUAUUCCUGUCAGGCACCAACUCUUCAAGGUACAACAGCAUGUUGGCAGGAUACAUGCUUAUUUGUUCCCAAGUGUUACAUUUGGACAUCAUGUGCAUACAGUAUAGAUGGAUAGACAGAUAGAUAGACAGACAGAUAGAUAGAUAGAUAGAUAGAUAGGUGAUAGAUGUGUUUGUGAUAUAUAUUUAUAUAGGCACAUACCUUUACAACACAUCUACUAAAACAAAGGGACCUAGAGAAGCAAGAAGCUUUAAAAUACAGAAUUUAUAGAAGAAAAAAAUCUUUCAAAAUACUUAAUUCUAAGUUUUCUUCUAUUGCUUCUUUCACCUAAGUAAAAGUGCUUCCACUAUAUUUAACUUACUAAUGCCUGAAGACAUCUAUGGUGUUUACUUUAAGAUCUAAUCAAUUUCCUUUGUUACCGAAUCAGUUCACAAAAGCAUUUGAAAAAACACUCAUGGAUAUUCUUAGUGGUGAGUGACUUCUUGAAUCAGUUUAAUAAUUGAAAGCAAUAUUAAUAAACAUUAUCUAAUAAACAAUUACAUUUACUAUCCACUCAUAAUGCAGUACUGCUCUUAUAUUGUUUCACAUGUUUCUCUGCUUUUACUGCUAAUAGCAGUAGUAAUAAUAGAAUGCAAAAAGUUGACUCCAUGUUUUUGAUA